GAAAAAUAUCACAAAUCUCAACGGUACCUUGUGCUCUUAUACAUGCUUGUUUCAAAGUUGGCUUGCCUAUAGUAUUGUGCCCUUUUAUUCAAGGAAGUAAAAUGGCUAAAAAGAACAAUUUUGAUAUUCUUUGGCAUAUAUAAUCACAAUGUAAACUAAAGAGGAAAAAAAAAAAAAGACUUGUAUUGAUUACUCAAUUGAACUGAACCUGGUCCCAACAUUGAUCUAAUUGAGGUUGGCUAUAUAGUUUGCCUUUUAUAGUUGGAUUUAGGACUAAAUUUUUUGAAAAAAUCUGGAGAAGUGAAACCUUUCUUGAUGUCUUUGUUUAAGGGAAAGAACCAAGAAGAAGAG
rnacentral:misc_RNA from 1 species